CAAUAGCGUAUAUUUAAGUUGUUGCAGUUAAAAAGCUCGUAGUUGGAUUUUGGGUCGGGGGCACCGGUCCGCCGUUCCGGUGUGCACUGGUGGCCCCUUCCUUUCUGCCGGGGACGUGCGUCGCACUUAAUUGGGUGGCGUUCGGAGUCGGCGUUGUUACUUUGAAAAAAUUAGAGUGUUCAAAGCAAGCCAUCGCUCUGAAUACAUUAGCAUGGAAUAACAUGAUAGGACUCCGGUCUUAUUUUGUUGGUUUCCGAGACUGGAGUAAUGAUUAAGAGGGACAGUCGGGGGCAUCCGUAUUUCAUUGUCAGAGGUGAAAUUCUUGGAUUUAUGAAAGACGGACUUCUGCGAAAGCAUUUGCCAAGGAUGUUUUCAUUAA
rnacentral:rRNA from 1 species